UACGGGGGGGGCAAGCGUUGUUCGGAAUUACUGGGCGUAAAGGGCUCGUAGGCGGCCAACUAAGUCAUACGUGAAAUCCCUCGGCUUAACCGGGGAACUGCGUCUGAUACUGGAUGGCUUGAGAUUGGGAGAGGGAUGCGGAAUUCCAGGUGUAGCGGUGAAAUGCGUAGAUAUCUGGAGGAAUACCGGUGGCGAAGGCGAGUCUCUGGUCCGCUUCUGACGCUCAUGUGCGAAAGCUAGGGGAGCAAACGGG
rnacentral:rRNA from 1 species